rnacentral:lncRNA from 1 species
UUUUUUUUUUUUUUAAUUAAUUUUACAAAGGAAACUGCUAUGGAAAACAAACUUACUGAUAUUCAGAAAACUAGAACUUAAAACCAGUCCUCCAAUACAACUGUCUUCAGAAAACAGCCUCAAAGUUUUUGUGUUGUAUUUUUGUUUCCUUGUAUGAUAAUUAAUUAUAAGAUUAACACUUGCAAAACAUAAUUAGUCUCUGGAACAUCUUCAAAAGACUCUGAUGUCAAGAUGUCUUACACCCUGUGCAGGUAAGCCUCACUCUGUCCUCUCCAGCAUUUGUGGGAAAUAUACAAAUUUGAAAGGAAAACUUGCCCCAAAAUAAACACAUAACAGGGUAAUCAGUUCAGUUUCAUUUACUGUAUCCCCACAGAAAGUGCCCUUAUUAAAAGAAAUUAACAUAGAAGUUUGUUUUUAAUUAGAAAGCGUUUAUAUAUUCCCUCAGCACCUUUCACAGCAGCAGUACCACUUCACGCAGCUCUCCAACCCAUUUCCAACAUGACAAAUCUCAGCGCUGGCUUAACAAACCUCCCCCCUCCCAAAAAGCGAGAAAAGAAACCAGACAUACAGAAGGAAAAGAAGUUCCUGUUCCUUGUGGCCACAAAAAAACCCACAACAAACAAACAAACCCAACUAACUCCCUAAGGCACGAAGGGGAAGUAGCAAGGCAGAACACGCACAAAGAGGGCAAUAACUAGUAUUGAUUUUUUAAUACACAUCAAGUGCUCGAGCAGGCUAGGGCGCCACAACUUCAACAGAAGGAAGGGAGGACAGGCUGUCACAACCCCAAGCCGUAUCUUUAGCCCCUAUAAGCCCUAUAGCAUUGAACGAUUUGGGGGUCUCGUCGAAGCUGAACCCCGCGAAGUCCCCCCGCCGUCCCCCAAAGACUACAAGCCUCCGUACAAGCCCCAAACUGGGGAGUAACCGUAACGAGGUGCGACCGGAAGCUCCACCUCCCGCCCUCCGAGCUCAACCACUGGCCACCUCUCCUAUCACUCUCAGCACUGCCGGCCCCCUCCUGCCCGCCCCCUCCCCAUCUCCCCAGCCCUCUCGCAGCCGCCACCCCGCCCCGCUCCCGUCUCCACACUCAUUUGCUGCCGGCCAUGUCAUUUAAACGUAGUUUCCCCUCUUGAUUGUCUGCUUCGCGCCAGUGGCUCCCGCCCGUGAGAAG